GUAGCUCUUUACUGUAUAUUUUGGUAGUGUGAGAAAGGACAGUAGAGGUAAAAAAUGACUCUUUCUUUCUAACAUUCAUCAAAUAACAUUGUUUAUGUAUUUUUUCAGCUUGAACAUACGACAGAAGAUUGCCUGAUAUUUUAGCUUUGGAUCCAAGCACCGUGAUGAGUUACUGCUGGAAUAUGAUCAUCUGCUUAAAGCGCUGGUUCCUUAUCAAAUAUAGCUGCUGUACAAGUAAAAAACACAAGCCGUCUUCUGGACUUGAAGAAACUGGAAAUGACUGAUGACUGGUGCAGCUAUGUAAAAGCUGGCGGUCACUAUGGUUCAUACCAGUUUAUAAACACAUGUGUCCUUGACUUACUCCUUGUUGCACUUUACAUCUGUCACAUCAAAUUUGAAAACAUUCAUCUACUGUUCCAAUCUGACUUUAUACUGAACUCAAUCAUGAAUUACUUAUAUGCAAACAAGCGUGAUCAAGCUAAAGCUCUUCGGUUAAUUCAUUUGAAGCUUUUGGAUGAUCACUGUAAAUUCAAAACGUCUGCAACAGUUGAUGUUUGGAGUGAGGCUAAGGACCAUUUGUCAAUGUUUAGACAACUGGUAUGCUCCAAAGACCAUGUUGAGAUUAAAAGCAUACACUGGUAAAUAUCAAUAUCUUAAGCAUUAUGUUUGCUCUGCCUCUCAUCUCUAAUUCUAAACAAUUAGGUAAGGGUGUAAAAUAACUCUUUGGGGUACAAUGUAUAAAUGUUAUUAGAAGUGUAUCUGUGUGUAUUUUUAGUGAAUUCCAACGCUAUGGAGAAGUGACUAUUCUGGGCAAAGCAGAUGGAGACCCCUGCCUAAUAUUGGUAAACACUGAUGGCUGUAUGAAUACAGCUCCACCACUUAAUGUCAAAGACCGAACAUUUGAACUUCAGUUUUUGCUUCUGUGGAGGAAGGUGACAGGAAAACACAUGGUUGUGUGUAGCAAGCUGGUUGAUAGAUGGGUCCUGCAUGGCUCCAAUGAAGUAUCCGACAGAGAUUUCAGCUUUAACCGUGCAAAUUUCAGAUGUGAUUAUUCUGUUUACUUGGCUGGCUAUGCCAAGAUACCACCUGGACGCAAGAGAGUGGGCAUUCCAGUGGCUGAAGAGGGGUCAAGAUCUGAUCAUGGAGAAUCAGUGUGGCACUGGAUAUAAGUUUGAAAAGAAUAAGAAAUUCUGAUCAUUCACAUGCACACUUAAAUUGUCUUAUUUUUCUUUGUCUUCAUAGUUAGAAAUAGCAUAAUGUGACCAUGCUAUGACCAUGCAAAAUUUACAAUAACCAGGGCUUGACAUGAAAAUUUGCAAAACAUCUAGGCUAGACAAACUACUUUGGUGAAGCAUUUGGUCAUUUUUCCUGUUAGAUAAAAGGUGCAGA